GGGGGUAAAAAAUCCCAAAUCCCAAAACACCCAAAUCACAUUUUCCACCCCUAAAUCCCAAAAACCCAAUCCACAAAAAACCCCCGAACCCCAAAACUCCCAAAUCCCAAGACCCCAAAUCCCAAAAACCCAAAAUCCUGAAACUCCCCAAAUCCCGAAAACCCCCAGAUCUCCAAAAACCCAAACCGCAAAAAAUCCCAAAAACCUCAAACCCCCAAAUCCCAAAAGGUCCCCAGCCCCAAAGCCAAAAACCCCUCAAAUCCCAAAAACGUCAAAUUCCCAAAAACCCCAAAUCCCUUUAAAACAAAAAAACAAAUCCCAUUACAAAAUCCCCAAAUUCUAUUUAAAAACCCCCCAAAACCCCAAAUCCUUCAUUUUCUUCCUUUUUCCCUCCCAGGCCGAUAUCGAGGAGGCCCCGCCCGAGACCCGCCGUGAGUUUGGGGCAAAUUUUGGGGAUUUUCGAGUUUCCAAACCUCAAAUUUUCCCAAAAAUCCCAAAAUUUCCCCCCCAAAAAUUCCUGGAAUUUUCCCCCAGGGCUCUACCAGGAGUACAGGAGGCUGAAAAAAGCGGGAAAAACUUCGGAAUCUUUGGAAAACACUUCAGCAUUUCUGGGAAAAACUUCAGAAUUUUCGGGACAAUCAGGAUCCCCUGAAAUCCCAAAAGUGGAGCAGGUGGAGGAUUCUGAAUUUUGGGGCUCCCACCUGAACCGGGGUCCGAAAAUUCCCGGGAAAAGUCGGAGCGGGAACCCCAAACUGGGAAUUUCAGCGGAAUUUUAUGGGAUGAAGCUCAAAGCCAAACUGGGAACAACUGGGAAGGAACCGCCCCUGACCCCUCGGAGGACCCCAAAUCCCAGGAGAACCCCAAAAAUCCCCCAAUCCCAAAAAACGCCAGAGCACGGAGCCGCGGAACCUCUGGAAAAAUCGGAAAAUUCCGAAAAAUCGGAAAAUCCCAAAAAAUCCGAAAAUUCCGAAGAACUCGACGACCUCGUCCUUCCUCCUUCCGUUCCAGGAUUGGGGCCUCUCAAAUUCCCGAUGGGAACGAAUCCCAAAUUUUCCCCCAUUCCUGAAAAAUUCCAGAGGUUGAAGGAGAAGGUGGCGAAAACGUUGGGAUCGUUGGAUCCCGGUUGGAUCGAGAGGUGCCAAGAAUUCUUGGAAAAACCGAAAGAAUUACUGGAAAAAACGGAAUUGGUGACGGACAAAGUGGAAUUGGCGACAGAAAAAGUGAAAUUUGCAACAGAAAAACCGGAAUUGACAACAGAAAAAGCGAAAUUGGCGACGGAAAAACCAGAAUUGGCGAAGGAAAAUCCAGAAUUGGCGAGGGAAAAUCCAGAAUUUCCGAGGGAAAAAGGGGAAAUUCACGAAUCCGUCGGGAAUUCCGCGAGGAAACGGCACCGGGAGGGCGGAGGAGCCGCGGAAAUUCCGGCCAAGCUCCGGAGACGCCUCCAAGAACCAAAUCCGGGGAAUUUUGGGAUGAGAGAAAACUUGGGAAUUUUUGGGAUGGGGGAAACCCAAGAAGAUGAGGGAGAAAGGCCGGAAUUCCAAAGUGGAGCUGGGAAGGCGACGAAACAAUCGGGAAAAAAACUGGAAAAGGAGGAAAAAUCCAAAGCUGCUCGUAGAGCUCGGGCCCCUCCCGGGAAUUUCGUGCGCCUCAACCUGAAGAGAAAAACAUUUUCCCGCGGAUUCCAGAGGGGAAAGUUCCUCCGGAAACAGGUUUGGAAGCAGAAAUGGAGAAAAAAAUUUGGGGGAGGAGGCGAUCAAUGCUUCCGGUGCGGCGGGAAAGGGCACUGGGGGGGGGGGGGGGGGGGGGGGGGGGGGGGGGGGGGGGGGGGGGGGGGGGGGGGGGGGGGGGGGGGGGGGGGGGGGGGGGGGGGGG
rnacentral:lncRNA from 12 species